UACGUAGGGUGCGAGCGUUAAUCGGAAUUACUGGGCGUAAAGCGUGCGCAGGCGGCUUUGCAAGACAGAUGUGAAAUCCCCGGGCUCAACCUGGGAACUGCAUUUGUGACUGCAAGGCUAGAGUACGGCAGAGGGGGAUGGAAUUCCGCGUGUAGCAGUGAAAUGCGUAGAUAUGCGGAGGAACACCGAUGGCGAAGGCAAUCCCCUGGGCCUGUACUGACGCUCAGGCUCGAAAGCGUGGGGAGCAAACAGG
rnacentral:rRNA from 1 species